GCCCGGCCAUAAACUUUGGAAACACCCGCCAGAUAACUACGAGCCACAGCUUAAAAUUCAAAGGACUUGGCGGUGCUUUAUAUCCACCUAGAGGAGCCUGUUCUAUAAUCGAUACUCCCCGAUCAACCUCACCACCCCUUGCCAAUACAGCCUAUAUACCACCGUCCUAGCUGACCCUUUAAAGGAAUAACAGCAAGCGAAAUAACUUUUAGUAAAAAAGUCAGGUCAAGGUGUAGCACAUGAGGCGGAAAGAAAUGGGCUACAUUUUCUAAACAGAAAACACGAAAUAAUUUAUGAAACAAAAUAUGAAGGAGGAUUUAGUAGUAAAAAGAAAAAAGAGUGUUCUUUUUAAACAGGCAAUAAAGCACGCACACACCGCCCGUCACCCUCAUCACAACACAACAUCCUAAAUAAAAUAAUAAAAAAAAGAAGAGGAAAGU
rnacentral:rRNA from 1 species